rnacentral:rRNA from 1 species
AUGACUGGUGUUUGCAACAUUGUCCAUGUGUUGGUUCUCUGCCGUCAUAGCUAUAUUCAACGUGUAUCAGCUUUGCAGUGGAGCAUGUUGUUCGCCGUGGGUCGAACUGAGGCCAAGACUGAUGAGUUGAAGGCGAGAACAAACUACUACUCUACCCAGCAACUUAUACAGAGAUGUGGUCUUGACCCUGCUCAAGCUCAUCCACACCGCUGUCACUAUAGCUGCUUCUGUGAGUCUCUUGUCAUCUUCUUCGCCGCCCACAUUCGCUUCCCACAGCUGUGGAUGACGACAAGGAGGUGGUGGGUGACAUGGGCAAAUAGUGCUUGGAUGUCCAUGUUGCUUGUCUGCGUGUCUGCAUAG